rnacentral:rRNA from 1 species
AGCGUAAUAGCUCACUAGUCGAGUCGGCCUGCGCGGAAGAUGUAACGGGGCUAAAACUAUGUGCCGAAGCUGCGGAUUUGACAUUAGUCAAGUGGUAGGGGAGCGUUCUGUAAGCCGAUGAAGGUGUAUUGAGAAGUAUGCUGGAGGUAUCAGAAGUGCGAAUGCUGACGUGAGUAACGACAAAACGGGUGAAAAACCCGUUCGCCGAAAGACCAAGGGUUCCAGUCCAACGUUAAUCGGGGCUGGGUGAGUCGACCCCUAAGGCGAGGCCGAAAGGCGUAGUCGAUGGGAAAAUGGUUAAUAUUCCAUUACUUCUGUGUAAUGCGAUGAGAGGACGGAGAAGGCUAAAUCAGCCUGGCGUUGGUUGUCCAGGUGAAAGGAUGUAGGCAUGUAUCUUAGGCAAAUCCGGGGUACUCUAUGCUGAGAUCUGAUAGCAAGCUGUACUUGUACGGCGAAGUGGUUGAUGCCAUGCUUCCAGGAAAAGUCUCUAAGCUUCAGUUACACAGGAAUCGUACCCGAAACCGACAC